CAACACUCACAUGUCGAUGAUACGAGUUGGAUAUACAUCGCUGACAAGCUGUGAAUAUUUAAAAAUAAUAAAAAAAUAAUUAAAUAAAAGGAAGAAACUAACCUGUAUGUCUUUCUAGAUAUCUGAUAGAAAAUCACAAAGCAGUGGGCCGAGAAGAUGGCAUAUGGCCAUAGAGGGGAGCAAGUCUGAAUGGUGUUGGGUCGAUGGCACUAAUGAGUGAAACCAGCGUAGAGAAAAUGAAACUCUUCCUUUCAUUUUAAAUUGGAAACAGCCAUUUAACAAAAAAAAAAAAUGGAAGAGACACUUUUUUACUUACAAAAGCAGUGGCCAUUAUUGGGAUUAAAUGGUCACAAGUGCAUAAGCAGUCAACAGGGCACUUAACCAUUAAAAUUACCAAUUAAACCUUAACUUUAAUUACAAAUUCAUCAAAAAUUUGUAAAAAUAUAAUAUUACUUUAAUCAAUGAGUCUCCAAUGUGUAGUAUCCUAUUUUUAUGAAACAAUCAGCAUGUCCAUGUUGCAUCAUUCCCGUGAUGGUGCUUCUUACAGUUUAAUCAUUCUCACUGACUAAAUUGGCCUUACAAAUAUAAAACAAAAAUGAACAAACACUGAUCAUAAUUCUGGUACGCAAGUAAACAAGCAUGUCUUUUGAAUUCUAACCUCUGUUUUAAAACGGGAAUCUGAUGGUGGCAUCUUCAAGUGUGCCUUCCAAUCUUGUGAACUGAUUGGGAAAAAAAAGAAUAAGUAAAACUGCAUCAAUAACACAAGUAAAUGCAAAGAAUAUUUGUAGAGAUAUAGGGGGAAAAUUAAGCAGAAAAAGAAAUUUU
rnacentral:lncRNA from 1 species